GGUCGGCUCCCGAGAGCCAGGCGGGUGGAAGUCCGGGUGGAAGCGUGUAAGGUGUUCCCGGACAGCGCCCAGCCGUCUCCCUCUGGUGCCCCCCACCCCUGGCCUAGACAGCAGCGCCAGUCACGCGCUCUCUGUGGGGUUCUGCGUCUUACCUUCCUUUUCAUUUCAGUGCGUUCGGAGCAUCUGUUGAUGUCGGUUUGUGCAUAGAACAAACUUGUUUGGGUAGCUCGCUGUGGUGGCGGCAGUGGACACAUCAGCCCACACUGGCCUCGCACAGGCAUCAUCCGUCUGUUGGGAACGUGCACAUCCCUCGGUAUCUCCGUGGGUUCACACGCAGCGGAAUUCCCAGGUCGGUGGGCAGGUGCGUUUAACGCUUGACGCGCCCUCUCACUUUGCUCCGGCAGCUCUGUCUCGGCGUCUCCGUCCUGGUGUGCGAGCAGCCGUCUGUCCUUCCUUUGCACCAGCACUCGGGGGACUCAGGCUCUUUCCUGCUUGUCAGCGGGCUGGGGAGAGUGAUGCUUGGAAUUUACGUUACUGGGGGUGCGGGCGGACGUUUCCGUAUGAGCAGCUCUAGACACGGUCACCUCUCAAACACGCCACCAGGCGCUCGAGGAAAGAGAAUGCCCGUCCCCGCUAGUUUCGUCUUUGGUCUGACGCAGUCCUAGGAGCUCCCAUUAUGGCUCGGUGGUUACGAACCCAGCUAGUGUCCAUGAGGAUGCAAGUUCGAUCCCUGGCCUCGCUCCAUGGGUUACGGGUCGGCGUUGCCGUGAGCUGCGGCAUAAGUCACAGACGCGGCUCAGAUCCCGUGUUAGUGUGGCUGUGGUGUAGACUGGCGGCUGUAGCUCCAGUGGGACCCUGGCCUGGGAACCUCUAUAUGUCGCAAGUGCAGCCCUUAAGGAAAGCAAUCUACAGCGUAAGAAAUACGCAGUUGACCCAGGAAUAGCCCGGGGGCCACUUGCUCGUCCGUGUGUCGUUUACAGUGGGCCCUCUGCAUCUGUGGCUGAUUCCGUGAUCUCGUGCCCGCGGCGGCCCCCGGCCUCGGGCGGUGGAGCUGCUUUAAGCAAAUCCGCCGUGAGUGGGUCCUCGCAGUCCAAGCCCCUGUUCCUCAAGGUCCAGUUGACGUCUGUGUAGGAGAACAUGAAUUUUUCUGUUGUUCCCAGUUGGUCCUUUUUCUGUCGGUACCAAGUGAAUCGCGUUGUUUCAAUCGCUGGAGCUUUGCUGUUUCUUGUCUCCUUGUUUUCUAGAGAAGUGUGUGCUUUCUACUCUAUUGUUUGUAAUAUUCUUUUCACAAAAAGACCAUUUUAUGGGCUGUUUUUUGCUUUCUGUAUUCCAGUGUGUUUUCCGCUGCUUCAAAACUAUGGACUGUCGGGAGUUCCUGUUGUGGCUCAGCUGGUUAAGGACCUGGUUUUGUCUCUGUGAGGAUGUAGGUUCAAUCCCUGGCCUUGCUCUGGGGGUUAAAGACUCGGUGUUGGCGUGGCUUUGGUGAGGGUGGCAGAUGUGGCUUGGCUCUGGCGUGGCUGUGGCUGUGGUGUAGACCGGCAGCUGCAGCUCUGAUCCAGCCCCUAGCCUGGGAACCUCCAUAUGCUACAGGUGUGGCCCUAAAAAGAAAAAAAAAAAAA
rnacentral:lncRNA from 1 species